rnacentral:rRNA from 1 species
UUCUUUAUGAUUAUUAUGUAAAGUAAUUUCUGCCCAAUGAUUUUUUAAAUGGCUGCAGUAUAUUGACUGUACAAAGGUAGCAUAAUAAUUAGUUUUUUAAUUGGGAACUUGAAUGAAAGGAUAAAUGAGAAAUUAUCUUUAUUAAUUUUAAUAUUAAAAUUUAAAUUUUUGGUUAAAAGGCCAAAUUUUGUUUUAGGGACGAUAAGACCCUAUAGAAUUUAUAAUUUUAUAUUAGUUAUAAUUUGUUUUAGAUUAAUUUUAUUUGAUUAAUUUUAAUUUUUAAUUGGGGUGAUUAAUAAAUUUUAGACUUUAUUUUUUUUAUUCAUUUAUUUAUGUUUAUUUAGAUCCUUAUAAAAGAUUGUAAGAUAAAUUACCUUAGGGAUAACAGCGUAAUUUUAAUGGAAAGUUCAUAUUUAAAUUAGAGUUUGCGACCUCGAUGUUGAAUUAAGAUUAAUUUUUGGUGAAGGAGCUUUAAUUAUAAGUCUGUUCGACUUUUAUAAUCUUACA